AUGAGCAGGGGAGGGGCAGAGAGAGAGGGAGACACAGAAUCCGAAGCAGGCUCCAGGCUCCGAGCCGUCAGCACAGAGCCCGACGCGGGGCUCGAACCCACAAACCAUGAGAUCGUGACCUGAGCCCCGAAUGUGAACUGCUUCUAGAGCGACAUCAUCCUUACAUCCAGCCACACCCCUGCGUCUGGCUCAGGCCCCGGUUCAAGCUCCUCUUCUGAUUUAUUGGACGCCGCCUUUCAAAUGACAUGAGAAACCACUCCUGAAGUUCCUGAAUCCCGUCCACUGGCUCCCUACCUGGAACUGCCGGGGACCGUCAGGACGGGGUGCCCAGCCCCGGCGGCCUCAGCGUGGACAGGGACUCAGGGCAGCCCAGCGGGACAGGAGACAAAGGGGCACCUUCAGCAUCCACCUCACCUUCCGUGUCAUUGCCCUUGCGCGAGAUGGUGGGUCUCCAGUGACAGUGUCCCCAUCCUGGAAGUUCCGUGCUGGCCGCAGGUUAGCUCUGGGGCCCGGGCUCUUCCCUGGGCUCCGGUGAGGGCCACCGAGUCGCCGCCCGGACGUGCAGGCUCUGGACGCAGCACACACGUGCUCCUCUGAAAUUCCAAAUGGCGAAAACUUCGUCUCAAUCAGCGUCGCAGAGAGUUUGGAGAGGGGGCGGUAGGCUCUGGAAAUUAAACGGCACCUUUUGGCAUCUCACGUCGGUGAGGCGGCCAACUGAUUAUUUUUAUAUUACAAUCCCCAGGCGUUGUCAAAUUGAUUAAUAAAUUCGCUGAAAACCCA